ensembl:lncRNA
AAGUUUAAAUAGAUGUGAUAUUAAAGUAUAUUUCAGUUUACCAUAAAUGUUUGUUGGUAUAUUUUUGUUGGUCAGCAGUACACUUUAACCAUAUUUCAAAGACAACUAAAUAGUAAUUACAUAUAAAGAUGUACCGAAGUCCUACUUAAGUCUGUCAAAAAGCACUCCACUGUUCAGAUAACUGCAUGCUUCUAAUAAAAAUGUAAAUCUAUAAUAUAUUUUCAAUCAUUUAAUUGCAAAUAAUAAACAAUUAAGUGUCUGAAAACAUUACAAUCAGUGUACUUCUUUUCACAAGGGCAUGUUUUUGUUAUAUGAGAAAACAGAAGUGCAAACAUUUUUCACAACAUUCCCUUUUGUUUUCCAUAAAAGAACAAAAGUCAUACGACUUUAAAGUGACAUUAAGGUUGAAUGAAUGAUGACAGAAAUGUCUUUUUUGGGUAAACUAACCCACAAAUAACUAACCCAAGAGUCUCGAUUUGCUCACCCUUUAAUCUCCUGCUGUCUAGGAGAAACAAUUAAGACUUUAAAGUAAUCUUUUUCUCCUCCACUAACAACUCAAUCAAAUAUUUUCUCUUCUUGCUGAAGGCUUCCUGUUUAUUUUACAGAUUGUAUAUUUGGUCGUGGUGGACUUGUGCCGUGACACCACACCGGCUCUUGAGACGUCCGUGUGUUUGGGUUAGUGGUUAGAGCAGAGAGCAGACCUGGAGUGCACUGGACUAUAGGCUGCAUGGGCUACAGACACUGCAUCCAUUCAGGCCUGGUUACACACACAUUAUAGAGUCAGGAUUGUCUUCCAGCUCAUGUGGCAAUGCCAGGAAUGCUGAGCACUGGUUCCUCUCUGGAAAAAAAAAGACAUUUUUAUCCCUUCCCCACUCCAGCCUAUUCCUUUCUCUCCCAUCAAACACUUGAAAUAAUUUUACAGUAUCAUCCACAAUAAAGAUAUAGACCAAAAUGGCACAUUGUGUUAUUCACUGGAAGUUACAUUCUGUUCUUGCCUUUAUAGUUUCAUAAUCCACACGAACAUUGAACACUGCAUAUUCUCUCAAGG